rnacentral:sRNA from 1 species
GGUCAUCCCGUCCAGUCUCUGAUCGAAGGGGAGUUUCCACAGUGAUUGAUGCUGCCUCAGUGCACCUCUGAUUAUGAUCCAUGCAUUGGAGUCAGCUGCACAUUAGGAUGAUGCUUAUCUGGAGGUUUCAUUGCCUGUUACUUGGAGAUACGACCAGUGUGGCACCUCCUCUGUUGGUCUUCAUUGCCCUGUAUUACCUUCAAGCAUUUUAUAUGACUUCAUGGAUUAUCUUUUUAAUUAUUCCUAUGGCACAUGUUACACCUAACCCUCUAUUUUAGUGACAGCUCUUGCUCUGUCUAACCUUGUGGCAGUAUAAUUAUUUUUCAUAUAAUUACUUUAUUCACAGAUAUAGAAUUUAAUGUGAUAUAAUUAAAUCCUUUGACAAUUAUAACAGUUUUUAAAGUGAAAAU